AACGAACGCUGGCGGCAGGCUUAACACAUGCAAGUCGAACGCGUGCAGCAAUGCACGAGUGGCGCACGGGUGAGUAACGCGUGGAUAUCCGCCUUUUGGUUCGGAAUAACCCCGGGAAACUGGGGCUAAUACCGGAUGGUUCCUACGGGAUAAAGAUUUAUCGCCAAAAGAUGAGUCCGCGUCCGAUUAGUUAGUUGGUGAGGUAAUGGCUCACCAAGGCGACGAUCGGUAGCUGGUCUGAGAGGACGAUCAGCCACACUGGGACUGAGACACGGCCCAGACUCCUACGGGAGGCAGCAGUGGGGAAUAUUGGACAAUGGGGGCAACCCUGAUCCAGCCAUGCGGCGUGAGUGAUGAAGGCCUUCGGGUUGUAAAGCUCUUUUGGCGGGGACGAUGAUGACGGUACCCGCAGAAUAAGCCCCGGCUAACUUCGUG
rnacentral:rRNA from 1 species